GCCCAGACUCCUAUGGGAGGCAGCAGUGGGGAAUCUUCCGCAAUGGGCGAAAGCCUGACGGAGCAACGCCGCGUGAUCGAAUGAAGGCCUUCGGGUUGUAAAGAUCUGUUGACAGGGACGAAUAAGCAAUGCGAAUAGUUUUGUGUAUGACGGUACCUGUUUAGAAAGCUCCGGCUAACUACGUGCCAGCAGCCGCGGUAAUACGUAGGGAGCAAGCGUUGUCCGGAAUUACUGGGCGUAAAGGGCGCGUAGGUGGGCGCUUAAGUCAGGUGUGAAAACUCCGGGCUCAACCUGGAGACUGCACUUGAAACUGGGUGUCUUGAGGGCAGGAGAGGAAAGUGGAAUUCCUAGUGUAGCGGUGAAAUGCGUAGAUAUUAGGAGGAACACCAGUGGCGAAGGCGGAUGACUGGACGGCAACUGACGGUGAGGCGCGAAAGCGUGGGGAGCAAACAGGAUUAGAUACCCCCGUAGUA
rnacentral:rRNA from 1 species